UGGAUUUCUGCCCAUCUAAAGGCAGGAAAAGAAAUAGCACAAGAUCCUCUCAGUGCUGCAGAGAGGAGGAUUUUACUGCUGCUGAGCAAAGCCUGUGUGCAGCAUCUCCACAUGCCGGCAAAGGUGGGAUGACCCAGUGGCUGGAGCAGAAAGAAUAUCUUGGAUUAGAUGGCUGCAAAUGAGAGGUUUCAGUCAUGGAAUGGGAUGAGCUGCAGCUUGUGGCUGUUCAAGCUCAGCAGUGCUAAAACGUGACAUGGGCUCGCAGAGGACACGUGCAGCCCGUGGAGUGAACUGCAACCUGAACAGCUCUCCCAGCAGCUGAGGCUCCGUGUCCUUCUAGUAAUAAAUUCCUCCUGGACAGUGUUUCAGGGGAUUGCUAGGAUUUGAGGAGAGAGGAGGUUGGCUGGAAGUGAGACAGGCUCCAGGUUUAUCCUUGAAAGCCCCUGUGCUGCAGAGCCUGGGGCUGCCUUUGGCAGCCUGCCUGGAGGAAGAUGUCAGUGGAGGCUGAAGGCUGCCUUGUGCUGUAUGAGCCCACCAAUCCCCUCCUCGGCCAGCUAAGUUGGAGAUAAAUCUCCCUAUUAGCAAUGCAUAAAGCAGGCCAAAAUUCGAACAGCUUCUUAAGCAGGAGGUGAAUCAAAAGCUCAAAAUAACUUUAAAUAAGUCCUUUCUGUGCUCCGGGCUAGAAAGUGGUUGUUUUGGAGCUUUCCCAUAGUGUGCCUGGCCUGCCUGUGGGGAGAGAGGGGUUGCUGAGCAAGGCAGCAAAAUCAGGUAAAAAAUAACCCCAUCCCCAACGUCAGCAGCAGAGCUGAGAGGAACCAGAAGUCCUGAGCUGUUUCGAAGUUGUGUUAAAUAAUAAAGCAGAGAAAUGAAUAAAUUAGCUGAGCAUCUAUUUAGGUCAGCCCUCUCCGUUUCUCCCCGCCGCCUCCGUGUGCCUCCUCCCCGCAGCCAUCAGCUGCUCGGUGCCUGCGGCUCCGCUCCCUCGGCGGGAGCCGCCGGGCUCUCGCAAGUGCGGCUUCAGCAGGUGCCACAUCGCCUGCACACGUUCCCCCAGCCUUCGGAAGCGGCAGGCCAGCUCCCCUUUCCGACACUGGGGCAAAAAAUGUUCUGGAAAAUCCCGUUAAAGCAGCACCAAGCGUGGGCAGCGCGCACGGCUGCUCCCCUGCUGGCGCUGUCCCCGCACGGAGCUGCAGGUCCUGCUCCUCCCGGUGCAGCUGCAUCUCCCUGCCCCGCUGCUCCACUGCUGGUCACCACCCAGCUGCUUCAUUCCCAGCUUCCAACCACCUCCACCUUUGCAGGCCAUCGGUACCCCAGGCUCGGUUAUGUGAUUGCAAUUGUCAUCUUUUGAUUUAGGGAUGACCAGGCUGGUUGACACAGAUGGAGAAUCAGCUUUUAAACCUCUAAGCUCCCCUUAAAUCAUUCAAAUGCUUCCAGAAAAACGGAACAACCAUGCAGUCCUGUAUAUAUGCCCUUAUUUACAUGUUUCCCAAGCAUGAAAUGCCAGAACAUGUCAUCGGUUUUGGCUAUAAGCAAGCUGGAUAAACACUGACCAAGAUGGAAUUAUCUACAUCAAGGGCUGCUCCAUCUCAGCCCAGCUCCUGCUGAUCCUCCCAAACCCCACAGGUAGCUGAAGAAGGUCUCCAGCGAUGAACCCUGCCAGAAGCAGCAUCCAGGGUGUAGGCAAUGGAAAAUGAGAUGUUUCUAAGUUUGGCCAGGCUCAGCUGGCUCCUCGCAGGUCCCAGCCUGUGAGUCACUGCUACGUGGGCCACCAGCACGGCCUCCCCUCUGGAGGAAGGAGUGGAGGUGGAAAAAUAACAAGAGGAAACCAGUUGUUAGUAGUGCCAGCUCCAGGGAGAGUGGGAGGAGGUGGCAGUCCUGGAGAGAAAGGUCAGGGCUGCAUUGCAGGCUGCUGCCUGAUUUUAAAUCCUGCCCUCAUGCUAGGAAACUGCUUACAGGAACACACUUGUGCAAUAUGUAUGUAGGGUCUGGGCUGAUCUGAGGGGAGAAUGAAAGCCUCCAACAGCAGCCAGGGGUGAUGAAGGAUUUGUUUCUGGUCCCUGCUCACUCAUCUCCUCUGAUUUCUACUGAGCUGUACCUGUGUACCCUGUAAAAACCAAAUUUUGGCCCCUUGAAAACAUUGUAAAAGAAGAUGCACUUUUCAGAUGUACUGAGAACAGGUACAUCCAAAAUUAAAAUAAAAGAAUGCAGGUGUCCAGCCUCUUCUGGUGCCUCAGCUCUCCUAACUGGUGCUAACUGGAAUGCACCAGAGGGGGACACAAACCUCAGCUACUGUUCCCUUGUCCCUGCCAUCAGUCCAGGAACACUUGGCAAGGCUGGGCUGUGACACCUCCCCUUCCCACAGGGAUAUCUGCAGCUGUGGAUCAGGACUUCUGUUCUCCAUUGACUUGCAAGAAUUCCUUUUCUCCUGCACCCUCCCAUCUGACA